rnacentral:rRNA from 1 species
CUACAUGCAGUCGAGCGGUAGAGAGAGCUUGCUUCUCUUGAGAGCGGGGAGGGGGAGAAUGCAAAGGAAUCUGCCUGGUAGGGGGGGAUAACGAUCGGAAACCAACGCUAAUACCGCAUACGUCCUACGGGAGAAAGCAGGGGACCUUCGGGCCUUGCGCUAUCAGAUGAGCCUAGGUCGGAUUAGCUAGUUGGUGAGGUAAUGGCUCACCAAGGCGAGGUCCGUAACUGGUCUGGAGGAUGAUCAGUCACACUGGAACUGAGACACAGUCCAGACUCCUACGGGAGGCAGCAGUGGGGAAUAUUGGACAAUGGGCGAAAGCCUGAUCCAGCCAUGCCGCGUGUGUGAAGAAGGGUUCGGAUUGUAAAGCACUUUAAGUUGGGAGGAAGGGCAUUAACCUAAUACGUUAGUGUUUUGACGUUACCGACAGAAUAAGCACCGGCUAACUCUGUGCCAGCAC